AGCUGGAGUAGUUUUAGGAUGGAU
rnacentral:siRNA from 1 species